UACGGAGGGGUGCGAGCGUUUAAUCGGAAUUACUGGGCGUAAAGCGCGCGUAGGCGGCUUUGCAAGUCGAGUGUGAAAUCCCCAGGCUCAACCUGGGAACUGCAUUCGAGACUGCAUAGCUAGAGUAAUGGGAGAGGGAAGUGGAAUUUCAGGUGUAGCGGUGAAAUGCGUAGAUAUCUGAAGGAACAUCAGUGGCGAAAGCGACUUCCUGGACCAAUACUGACGCUCAUGGUGCGAAAAGCGUGGGGAGCAAACAGG
rnacentral:rRNA from 1 species